rnacentral:rRNA from 1 species
UACGUAGGGGGCUAGCGUUGUCCGGAAUCAUUGGGCGUAAAGCGCGCGUAGGCGGCCCGGUAAGUCCGUUGUGAAAGUCAAAGGCUCAACCUUUGAAUGCCGAUGGAUACUGCCGGGCUCGAGUCCGGAAGAGGCGAGUGGAAUUCCUGGUGUAGCGGUGGAAUGCGCAGAUAUCAGGAGGAACCCCGAUAGCGAAGGCAGCUCGCUGGGACGGUACUGACGCUAAGGCGCGAAAGCGUGGGGAGAGAACAGG